UACGGGGGGGGCAAGCGUUGUUCGGACUUCCUGGGCGUAAAGGGCUCGUAGGUGGCCAACUAAGUCAGACGUGAAAUCCCUCGGCUUAACCGGGGAACUGCGUCUGAUACUGGAUGGCUAGAGAUUGGGAGAGGGAUGCGGAAUUCCAGGUGUAGCGGUGAAAUGCGUAGAUAUCUGGAGGAACACCGGUGGCGAAGGCGGCAUCCUGGACCAACACUGACGCUGAGGAGCGAAAGCCAGGGGAGCAAACGGG
rnacentral:rRNA from 1 species